rnacentral:rRNA from 1 species
UACGAGGGGGGCAAGCGUUGUUCGGAAUUAUUGGGCGUAAAGGGUGCGUAGGUGGUUCGGCAAGUCUUGUGUGAAAUCUUCAGGCUCAACUUGAAGUCUGCACAAGAAACUGCCGGGCUUGAGUAUGGGAGAGGUGAGUGGAAUUCCUGGUGUAGCGGUGGAAUGCGCAGAUAUCAGGAGGAACACCAAUAGCGAAGGCAGCUCGCUGGGACGUUACUGACACUGAGGCGCGAAAGCGUGGGGAGCGAACAGG